rnacentral:misc_RNA from 1 species
GCUUCUCCUUCUUCUUCUUCUUCAAUUCAGAACCGGAAUUGGGUUGAUCAACUUCCUCGAUCUGGCCCUGGGUUAAACUAUUAUCGGAAUUACCCAAACUAUUCAACACAGUAAUAGCCUGAGUAAAAGAUCCCCAUAUUUUGCGAAUAAGUUCUUCAGCUAAGACUGAUUCAUUAGGUUGUUUAAGUAGAGUUUGAAGUUGGACAGUGAAACUUUUUCCUUCAACAAGUUCUUUUAUCAAUCUAUUAUGUGGGUUUUCACCAAGAAAAUCCUCCAUUUUUUAAAAAAAAAAAGUUAUUAUAAGAUCUGAGAAUUUAGGAAGUGAUGAUGGGGUUAUAGUUUAUAUAUGGUGGGUGAGAGUGAGAAGGAAAGAGAUAAGA